UACGUAGGUGGCAAGCGAUACUCGGAAUCACUAGGCGUAAAGCGCAGGUAGGCGGUUGGGUAAGUCUUUUGUGAAAGCUCCUGGCUCAACUGGGAGAGGUCAAAGGAAACUACUCGGCUAGAGUUUGGUAGGGGAUACUGGAAUUCCUGGUGUAGCGGUGAAAUGCGUAGAUAUCAGGAGGAAUACCUAUGGCGAAAGCAGGUAUCUGGGCCACAACUGACGCUGAGCUGCGAAAGCGUGGGGAGCGAACAGG
rnacentral:rRNA from 1 species